AACGUAGGAGGCGAGCGUUAUCCGGAGUUACUGGGCGUAAAGCGCGCGCAGGCGGUGCGUUAAGUCGGGCGUGAAAGCCCCAUGCUAAACGUGGGGAGGACGAACGAUACUGGCGGACUAGAGUAGAGCAGAGGGACAUGGAAUUCCGGGUGUAGCGGUGAAAUGUGCAGAUAUCCGGAGGAACACCAGAGGUGAAAACGGUGUCCUGGGCUCAUACUGACGCUGAGGUGCGAAAGCGUGGGGAGCGAAC
rnacentral:rRNA from 1 species